GGAAGGACGUCACUCCCUUUUCAGUGUUCGAAGGAUAUACCAGAGACUGUAUACUCGAGGUUUUGUAGUCAUGGAAAAAAUUCUUUGUGUGGGAAGCAGGAAAAACAAAUGGGGCCCAACUUCCAGUUGUUCAAAUGCUCAAAAGUAUUGGACAAACAGACGUGACCUCUGCAACGGAAUGUGACUACCUUCUAGUCUUCUGUCCUGUUGUUUCACGAGUUGGAACGGACAUCGGCGAGGCCCUGCACAACAUAACUCCUGGCAAACCAGUAAUACUGGUAGUGAUGCAUCACACCUUCAAUCCUCACCAUGUUGUAGCUGAAAGCCGGAGGCAGGUGGACAACCCAAAUGUCCACCUAACUGUGGACUGUCUGUUUCAUGAAGGCCGUCUCCUCAAUUGCAACCUCAAUGAUACCAUGUCGAGUGACAUCAAAAGAUUUUUUGGUUCUGAAUCCCCAGCUCCAGCCUUAAUUCACAACUUGAUGUCUUUGUGGCAACGCAUCCCAAGUUUCUUUUUAGGUUUCUUCAUCUGGAAAAUAUUUGGACUUUGUUGCUCCAGUAUUUGGAAUUUAUUCAUGUGUUUAGGUAGCCCCAUCUGGAAAAAAAUCAGACCUUGCUUGAAUCCUCUGGUACAUAUGGCUGGAUUGAUUAUUCCUUUGCUGAUGGCAGUUGUGACAUCAUUCAGCUCCAAAAUAUGGAAGAGAAAUAAAAGCGGGAAAUGAGGACUGCAAAACAAAAUCCAAAUGCAAUAAUUUAACAAUAUCACAGUAUGUUUUCUUGAUACUGUAUAUAAAACAAAAUAUAAGUAAUAUAUCCUGCCUUUGUAAUCAUUAAAGAUGUGUUAGUUAUGUGUUAUUGUUAUGAAAGCUGGUAUAGAUGUUUUAGGGAUGAAUCUUUUGAUCAUUGGUACUGUAGCAUGUUAAAGAUGAAAUGUUGCUUUACUCACAUGUCCAAGGCAAGACUGAAAAGUGAGCUUUAAGAAAACAGAACCAUUUCUUUCCCAGUUAUUGCAGACAUGCUUAUAUAUUUUAAAAUAAUAAAUUUAUUGAGAGGAUAUCUUGGUGUCAUUUGUUGCUUUUGUUCAUUCUGAAUUAGUGACAUUAAAAACUGUUUCUGAUUUAGGGUUAGACGUUACAGCUGUAACAAAUUGCAAAAUUGCAUUUUCGCUUAAAAUCUUGAAUUAAAAUGUACACACAAUGAGAAUGUUAAGCGUGGAACACAAUAAAACCAGAGACUGCCCCGCCCCUGACCCUUUUUUUUAAUAAAUAUUGAGAAGUGAACCUAGAAGAGCAUAUUAGUGUGUGGUUCAACUUUAUGCAAUUUAACUUUCUGAAAAGAAAGAAAACAAGAGCCAUAUUGAGAAAUCUCUGCUGAUAAUGAUGCACACCCUUUUUCACACCUUGGCUCAUGUGAUGAGGCACAUGGUCAACAGUGGGUCAACGUCCCUCUUAAGAGACAACUCCAACUAGGGCUUAAUACCUGGGACUCUCCAGCAUUUGG
ensembl:lncRNA